rnacentral:lncRNA from 1 species
CCAGGGUAGUGGCAGCAGGUGGCUGCCAGUUGUUUGACAUAUCAGUUCCGGAGGCAGAGCUUCGAGCUGCCUGGGCGGGUGUGCGCCAUGCGAGGAUGGUCCUGCAGGCUAGCUCGAUCUUUUUGGAGGGUGACUCGGCCACGGUCAUCAGAUGGAUCCAGAGGGGGGAGACGGCUGAUGGUACAGACCACCCCUUGAUUC